GUCCACGCAGUAAACGAUGAGAACUGGCUGUGAUGUGUAGGGAGCAAUCUCUGCAUGACGUAGCGAAGCUAACGCGUUAAGUUCUCCGCCUGGGGAGUACGGCCGCAAGGUUAAAACUCAAAGGAAUUGACGGGGGCCCGCACAAGCGGUGGAGCAUGUGGUUUAAUUCGAUGCAACCCGAAGAACCUUACCUACCCUUGACAUCCUUGGGAGAAGGCAGAGAUGCCUUUGUGCCGAAAGUAACCAAGAGACAGGUGCUGCAUGGCUGUCGU
rnacentral:rRNA from 1 species